rnacentral:tRNA from 1 species
GCCCGGAUGGCGGAACUGGUAGACGCAAGGGACUUAAAAUCCCUCGCCCGUAUGGGUGUGCGAGUUCGACUCUCGCUCCGGGCACCA